UACAUUUGGAAAAACUUGAUUUGUUCUUGUUAGCAAAUCUGCAAAAUUUUCCUAAAUUGAUAGGUAGAAGAGAGGAUUGCAGUCAGCAGUGGAAAGGAGAGAGAGCACAUAAUGGAUUUGCUAGCAAGGAGUAAGUAGAGUCAGUGAAGGACAAAGGGGGAGAGGGAGAAAGUGAAAAGAAAUGAUUGAAUAAAUAAUUCUCCUAGAAGGUCACAAAUCAAAUUUGGGAACUGAGCAAAACCCUCCAGUUUGUUAGGGAUCAAGAAUUCCUGGUUUUUGGGGUUCAUCCCAAAAUUUUUGAAGCCCAUAGUUGUUAUCUGUAACGGAUUUAUUUCACUUCCUGAUUCCAAUUUCUCUUAGAUAAAUACUAAGAUCCAAAACCAACAAAUCAAUUAAGCCAUGAACAAUCUUGAACCCAAAAAAAAGAAAAAAACACACAGACAAUGCUAGAAGUAACUUAUAAGACCUAAAACACAGCACCACAACCACUUCCAGUGACUUGAUAUGCACAAAGAAAGUGUGGCCUAUCAGCUUUAUUACCAGGAUCGAUGAAUGAUUUCAGAGGGCACACCUUAACCUGAGGAGAUUUGUUGAUAAAAGUAUCUAAUUUACUCAAUGACCAUUUCCACAAGGGCGGGCAAAUCCUUGAUAAAUAGUUUGCCUUCAUAUUUUCUUUAGAAGGUUAGGCAAUAAGCAAAUCACAUGGUUGGAAAUUCUUGAUGACUUGGAUGCAAUCCAUGGGCUUUAAUUUGACACCUUUUCAAUUUCCAAUUGUAUCUCAACUGUCCUAACUGGCAUAUUGCUUGCUUUUCUCAUGUUUAUUUUUAGGUCACAAUCAUGGAGACAGGAAACCCCAUCUCUAAUUCUUCUGUUAAUAGUAAUGGAGGCUUUCAGUAAACAGCAGCAACUAACAUUGCAGACAACUAUUACAAAAAAGAUUCUAAGCUAGAAGAAUUACAAGUAAACACUGAAAGUUUCAGAUGAAUUUUCCAGUGACACUCAAUCUCUCGUCAGGCAGAUUAAAAGCAGUUUAUUGCCUUGAAAAUUUCGUUUUAUUUCAUGGUUCCAAGUGUUCAAAGAGUAGGGUAAACAAAGAAAUUUGAUCUCUGGAUGAGAGGUUCAUUGCAUAUGGAGAUUUAACACUAAGUUUGGGUUGGGACAUUGGGCCAAAUGUAACAAAGUAUUACGGGGUACAUUCGUGGUAAAUUUCAUUUUCUGGAAGCUGGAACAGAUGAUAGUUACCUAAACAAAGAAACUUACUCCCAGAUUUAUUAGGGAGGAAGAGACAAUAUUUGGCUUUUCUUUUGUGUGUGGGGGGGAAUACACCUUUUAAAAACUUUCGGCCUUCAUAAUGUAAAUACCCCUUAUUUUCAGAGAAAAGAAUUUCUUAUGGGUGGCAUUGCAAGUGGAAGGACAUUUCUGAUAAGUUGGAAGUAUGUCAGGCCAAUUAUAGGGCAGAUUAAUCAUUCUUGUUCUGAGAGUUGCAACUGAUGCUUGGUUACAAAAAGUUACCAAACAAAAUGCUACAUGGAGAAGCCCAACGGCCUGAAAGUUUAAGUUUUAAGAUGAAAACUGCUAUGAAAUGCUCCUUUACAAAAGAAUCGGAGAUUGACAGGAAUCAAGAAUUUCCAAACUUGUCUAUCUAAGAUAAAUCACUACUAUACAAAAAGCCUUUUCUUGGAAAUCAAGUAUGCCAAAGCACAUGAAUUCCAAACCUAUUCUUUAAAACUUUUAAUAGUUUGGGUGCUAUUGAUCAUGUUGCAGAAAUUGAGGCAAGAAUGACCUCUUGCAAAAAAAUAAACAACAGGAACUUACAAGACAAAAUGAAUCGUGUUCAGCAGCUAAUCUAGGACCUAAGGAACUUCAAUCUCAAAUUGCUAGCUCUCCGAGCUUCGUACUUUUAAUUUCAUCCAGUUGAGUAUUCUCAGCAUGAAAAAAAUCUCAGUCCAUAUGCAUUUUUUGUAGUAGCAUUGUAUUUCUCAAUUACAAUCAUGAAGAACAAUGCUAUUGUGUAUCUUUCCACAUGGAUGCAAACAUUCAACACCACAAAACAUUAGAUGGUAACUGUAAAACCUGACAAGUUCAACGCCAACUUUCUAGGUCUGAUCUUUCUUUUCCACAUUUUUUAUCCCUCAAGCUUGUCACCUCAAAAUUUAAGUGUCCAUCAUCACUCAACAGUCACAACCACAACAGCCUAUUUUCACUUUCUUGGUGCUGUAUUUCAGCUUCCAUUGCAGUUUAUAAAGUUGUCCUGAUUGGAGAGAAGGAAAUAGAGCUUUUGGGGGUGUACCAAGACAGUAUGAAUAUGAAAAUUAUACUGCCUUCACCCAAAACUGAAGGCCAUAGUUCGACUAAAGAGAAUAUGAAUAAAAAAAACUGAAUAACAUAAUAGCCCAAAGAGAGUGUGAACAGAAUACAGGAAUUCCAAUACAGAGUUAGCAAAAAACAUGUAGAUGAACCCUUUAAUCAUUUCUGUUAUACACAAAGAGUACAUCAAAUGAAGAAAUAUCAAAGAAAACAACAAUUCUUUUUGGGGAGGCCAAAACAAGAAAUCAGAAUUCGAAACACCAGGGAGUUUAUAAUUCUCCAUACUUUCUUGGAGUAGGCAAUCUUGUGAAUUCAUGGACGUAUAACAAAUAUACUUCCAAAACAGCCUACUUUUCUUGCAAAAAUGAUUGCAACCCAUAAUAGUGGUUCAGUUCUUAUAGGCUUGGUUUACAACCUGGCCAACUAUCAUAGUACUUCUAGGUGGAUAACUAAUCCAGUCAAACUAGGAUACCAGGUCCUGAUUUAAUAUGUAAGGGGAUCCAAUACUGUAUCUUCAUUACAGUUGCUCCAGCAUCAUUUCUUUCUCGUCGAGUCUCAGCCUGACGGCCUACUCAAGGGUUUCCCACCAAUAAUCAACUAAAUUUGGAAAACCAAAACUUCGCUAAAUUUCUAAGCAUUAGCACAUUUAUUCACCAAAAAUUAUUUAGCCCCUCAGACUAGAGGGUACGUUUGCUUAUCUGGGUUGAGGUCUCAGUUUUACCAUCUGCAUCAAAGUUUUGAAAGAGUUCAUAAGUGGCUAAAUCUGCCACCAACCAAUCAGUUAUAGAUCCUGCUGAAAGUAAGAAAAAAGAAAUCAGCAGGAAUGCUGGAAGCAAUAAGAGUGUUGGCUUACCAUAGGAUCAAAUAAUGUCCCAACAGUUGGUACAACAGAUACACCCAAGUUCUUCAUGAUUUCUACAAAUUGCUUGUAUAUGCCCUGAUAACUUGCAUCAAUUUUCUUUUCCUGCUCUGUCUCUAGUUUGAUAUGUUGCUUGGCUCGUUCAAAGUUAUCUACCAUAGGCAAGAGACUCUCAAUCACUUCUCCCUGGGCAUUACUCCUUAUUGUUAGCUUCUCAUUCUCUGUUCUCUUCCUGAAGUUGUCAAAAUCUGCUUGCAAACGAACAUACUUGUCCUUCUGAGCACCAAUUUCAUCUGACAAAACAGAAACCUUUUCUAACAACUCAUUCCUCUCCUUUUCUACCAUGUGUAUUAUCUCUUCAAAAUCGGAUAUACUUUUCUCAUCUCCAUUUAAAAUGGCCUCCUUAUAAGCUGAGAUAGUAGACUCCAAUCUUGAAGGAAGUUCUUGGUCCGCUUCCUCUUCUGUUUUACUGAGAGGAGUCUCAUCUUCAUCAUCAGUCUAUCAUGUAUCACAUUGAUAUUAUUAAGCAUGCAAUGGCAGCUAUAAAAGUACUCAAAAUUUCUACCAUUAUACAGAAAAUUUAUAUGGUUGAUGAAAAAUUACCAUUACUUGUUACCUUUGUAAAUGAACUGAACAUUGCAUGAGAUAAGAACCAAUAAUAGGUUCAAAACAGAGACACUGACAGAGGAAGCGAUCUCUAAACUUUGAAGUAUGAGACACACACUGUAAAGUAUACAGACAUGGUACACUAACUCUCUCUCUCUCUCUCUCUCUCUGUUUUGAUUCAUUGGUGGUGGUGUAAGGGGAACUCAACUUAACCUCGUCCCGUUUUAAUAGUUUUUGAAAAAAGAGACAAACAAAACUUCAUUUUUCAGCAGCAGCCUUGAAGCCAGCAAGAAACACUAUGAAUGAAAUACUUACUUACAAUUCCUGUCAAUAAGUUGAUUUAGUAAUUUCUCUGAAAGCAGACACCUUAAAGCAAAAUUGAUGAAAGAAAAGAUGUAUCUGUUCACUGUAUUUUGACCAAAUUCCAGCAGAUUUGCACAAUUUUUUAGAAUAAAAAAUCAACUAAAAUAACAACAUCUUUGUUCAUGUUUACAUAUCUAUACUUGAAAUUCAGCUUGUAAUUCCCCAAAAUCAAGCCUGCUUACCAAUAACCAAUAUCAAAAUUUAAUAAAUGAAUCUAAGAUACAUAAAGAAUCAAAAUUGGCUUCGACUAAACACACCAAGCCAAGAAAGAACAUCAGCCACAACUUCCAUCACGAGUUAAAAGCAACUAAACAAAAAAAAAAUUACUUCGGAAGCGGAGUCUUCGGAUUGUGACUGAGAAGCUUUAAGAAAUCGGCAUCUCCUGCUGCUGUUGUUAUUGAUUACCGGAAUGUUUGCAUUUUUGGGCAAACAAAAACAAAAGCCUCUGGAGGAAAUGGGUUUCAAGGGAAAAUGGGUUUGGAAAUAAUUUGAAGAAGAUGAAGGAAGGGAUGGGCGAUGAGGAGAAGCAUAUGAACAAAGAUAAGCUGUUGAAGCUGAAGCUGUUGGUGCCGCCGCCAUAGAAGUUUCUAGUAUUAUCACUGAAGAUUGAAAGGGAGGAGUCUGGUAAUUUCACACCAAGCGGAGGAAGAAGAAGGUGGAGUUGGUGUAGGGGUUUUGGGAUAAGAGAAAACGAUGUCGUUAAGUCAGAAAGCCGAAAACGACAAAAAAGAAUAAAAUAAAAACAAAAGGCCCAACUUAGCCUUAUUCUAGAUACAUCUUCACGCGUGUGCUGCAUUUUCUGGUCUCUCACUAGCGCCAAAACAGCUGCAUUUGAGUUGAGUUCAACAGUUGACAACUCGAAUUUUAACUAAAAUAUCGCUGAGUUUUUAGAAACCGAAUCGUGCUAGCUCGAUUUUAGUUUAACUUUUCUUUUUUGCCGUAACUGCACGUUUAACAUAACCUAACCUACUCUUACUUCUACCAGGGGAACCUACUCUAUAAGAUGGCUUAAUUGAGUCAGAAAACCUGACGAGAACUGAACAAUCAUUAAACUAAACGGAUGCACCACACACUCAAUGGAUUUUGAACUCUUAACCUCCCACCCCACAAUAAAUGCGAUGACCAAUUCCUCUUGAGGGAGUUUUAGUUUAACUUGAGUUCAUAAAAAUUCGAGAUCGAGCUAGAUCGAUUUUAGUUUUACUUGAGUUUGAACUUAAGUUAAUUGAGUUUGAUGAAAUCUAAUCAAGUUUAAUGGAGUCUAUUCAAUCUAAUCAAAUUCACCUAAUAAAAUGAUAUUUCGAUAUUUCGCUUGUAUUAUAAACACAUUUUUUAAUUUACUUUUUUCUAUUUUCAACCAUUUUUUUUAUCUCACGUACAUCAUAUCACAAAAAAUGUUACAGUAAUUAUUUCAAAUAAUACUCUAUCUUACAUAUAAUUUUAAACAAAGAAUAUAAUCGAUAUUUUACAAUAAUAAACAUAAAAAAUAAAAAUAAUAUAUAUGUGUGUGUAUGUGGGUGCAUGUGUGUGUGUGUCGGUUAGAUUUGUCAAGCUUACAAGUUUAGAAAUAUAAUACUCAAGCACGAUUUUUAAGUAUUUUGAAGUUGUUUAAACUUGACUCGAGUUUAGUCAAUGUCUAACUCAAGCCGGAUAGUUGAGUUAGUUACUCGCGAAUUUGAGUCUAAUAGCUUGAUCAACUCGCAGUCCUAGUUUACUGAACGACUACUUGACCCGUGAAAGGGAAAAGUGACCCGACCGGUAGUAUUGAUUGAACACAAAUUUGAACUGUAUCCAUCCGUAGUUAUAAAUCAAUAUGGGUGGGUAAGGGUCAAGUAUGCGCUCCAUGCAUCACUUGACCGAUGUCAGGAUAUGAAAUUGUUGAAUUGAGAUUAAUUGGGUAUAUUUCAAUUAAAGGUCAAAACGAUGUCGUUUGGGUUAGUAGUUAGUUAAAGUAGUUACUUAGCAAUUGCAGGUUGUUAAGUUUGUUAUAAGUAGAGGACCCACGCAUGAGAGAUACAGACUUUGUUUUUGGUAAUCAGAUGUAUUUCAAUUCCUCUUUCUAAAUUCUAUUUCUUCCCCAUUCUCUCUGAUUCUCUCCCUCUCUGCAAUCUUCAGCUCAUUUCCCAACUUAAUCCCCAAUCGUAACUCAGAUAUAAACAAUUGCACUUAAGUUCCUGACAAAUUGGUAUCAGAGCAAGAGAUCCUUGGAAAUUACCAUUAGCAAUGGCAGAAGGCACUAGAUUCCGGUCAUUGGAGGAGCAAGUUAAGAAACAAGAAAUCAAGCUGCAGGAAUUGGUAGAAUCUCUCCAUACAUCACAGUCGGAGCAGCAGCAAAUUAAAAAGGAAUUGAAACAGGAACUGGAGGAGAGUAGCAAACGGAUGGAAGGCCUAUUAUUAGGUAUGGAGCAGAAUUUUCUCAAAAUUUUGGAGCAAAAGCUGAACAAUCUUCUGCUAAGGACUCCUAUGAAGGAGAAGACUACUGAAGGGGAUGGAAGAUUGCCAGUAGAUCAGACGCCACUGUUACCAACUCCACCAGCUCACUGCAGGAUACAACCUGAAGGCGAAGCUCAGAAACUCUUCAAGAAGGACUGGAGUAAGUUUCAGAUUCCAAAUCCUCCUAAAAUUGAUUUACAGCUAUUUUCUGGAGAACAUCCUAGGGUUUGGCUGAGGAAAUGUAAUAAAUACUUUUUGAAUUAUCAAGUUCCACACGAGCAUAAAAUUGAAAUCAUUGAAAUGUAUCUGGAUGGCAAGGCUGACAAAUGGUUCCAAGGUGUAAAAAUUGAAAAGCCUAGAUUAGGAUGGGAGGAAUUUGAAGAUAUGUUAUGUAGGAGGUUUAAUGAUAGAUCGUGUAAGGAUAUAGUGGAAGAAUUCAAUAAACUGCAACAAGUAGGCAGUAUCGAGGACUAUCAGGAGAGAUUUGAGGAGCUGAAGCCUUUGAUGAUGAUCAAAAAUAGAAACCUGGAUGAAAACUAUUUUAUUUCCAGUUUCAUAAGUGGACUUAAGGAAGAAAUUAAGCCUGUGGUCAGGAUGCUGAAACCUGCCACACUAUCUGAAGCCUUCGAGCUAUCUCAAUGGCAAGAGCAAGUCAUAAGAAUCCAGAAUAAAAGCUCCAAGGAAAACACCAGGCCAAUGGGAGAAAACAAAUUUGGCAUAACCAGAAGUGCUAACACUUCUGUUGGAACAAAUUCUUACAAGGUCCCUGCCACUAGCAAUUUUAAGCACACUAAGUUUAGGAGUUCACCAGGGGAUACUAAGGAACCAGCAAAGUUGUCUGCUCAGGAGUUGCAGUAUAGGAGGAGUAAUGGAUUGUGUUUCAGGUGCGGAGAGAAGUAUGGAAUGGGACAUCAGUGUAGAGUGGGUCACUCAAAUUGUAUGACACUGGAAGAGGAGGAGGAUUCUGCAUUUGAGGAUGCCCUUGGAGAACAAGAUGAACAGACUGGGAAUCCUGGACAGGCCAUGGAAGUGUCACUGCAUGCUUUAUCUGAGGCUCUUAAGAGAAAAACUAUUACACUCUCUGGAAUCUUAGAUGGGGAGGAAGUACUGAUAUUGGUGGACACUGGGAGCUCAGACAGCUACAUUAGCAGUGAGCUUGUAAUUGGGAUGGACAUAGGCUAUCAGUGGGUGGAUCAACCAUUCUCUGUCAUAAUGGGGAAUGGAUCAUGUGUCACCAGCAAUGCAAUAUGCAAUGGGGUGCAGUGGAGGAUUAAUCAACACAACUUCAGGUAUAACCUCAAGGUAAUGGAACUGGGAGGUUGGGACAUAAUCCUAGGAGUGGACUGGAUGACACACUUCAGUCCCAUCACAUUCGACUUCCAACAACUCAGGAUAUCCCUGCACCAUGAAGGAGAUGAAAUCCAUCUACAUGGCCAAGCCGAUAACUGUGACAUGGAUUUGAUCAGGGGCAAGGACUUAAGAACAUUUAUAGAAUACAAGAAACAGAUGUGUAUGGCUAUGUGUGGCCAAUAGGAAAAAGACAGACAAGGGAAGUCAGAAACCACACCUCAAGAGGUAGAGGCCCUGCUACAGGACUAUAAGGAUGUCUUCCAGACUCCUAGCUCAUUACCCCCAAGUAGGAGCGUAGACCAUGAGAUUCCUCUCAAACAGGAGGCUCAGCCAUUCAAACUUAAGCCUUACAGAUAUCCUCACUGUCACAAGGAGGAGAUAGAGAGACAGGUUACUGAAAUGCUGCAGAAAGGUAUUGUGAAACACAGUAACAGCCCCUUUGCCUCCCCUGUACUACUAGUCAAGAAGAAGGAAGGCACCUGGAGGUUUUGUGUGGACUACAGGAAGCUGAAUGAGAUCACUAUUAAAGACAGAUUUCCAAUACCCAAUGUAGAUGAACUGUUGGAUGAGUUAUCAGGAGCUGUGUUCAAAACCAAGUUAGCAAUGGAGGCUUUCAGUAAACAGCAGCAACUAACAUUGCAGACAACUAUUACAAAAAAGAUUCUAAGCUAGAAGAAUUACAUGUAAACACUGAAAGUUUCAGAUGAAUUUUCCAGUGACACUCAAUCUCUCGUCAAGCUGAUUAAAAGCAGUAUUAUUGCCUUGAAAAUUUCGUUUUAUUUCAUGGUUCCAAGUGUUCAAAGAGUAGCGUAAGCAAAGAAAUUUGAUCUCUGGAUGAGAGGUUCAUUGCAUAUGGAGAUUUAACACUAAGUUUGGGUUGGGACAUUGGGCCAAAUGUAACAAAGUAUUACGGGGUACAUUCGUGGUAAAUUUCAUUUUCUGGAAGCUGGAACAGAUGAUAGUU
rnacentral:lncRNA from 1 species